UCAGGACGAACGCUGGCGGCGUGCUUCAUACAUGCAAGUCGAACGAUAAGGUCUCUUCGGAGAUACAUAAGUGGCGGACGGGUGAGUAAUAUGUAGAGAAUCUGCCCUAGAGUGAGGGACAACAGAGGGAAACUUCUGCUAAUACCUCAUAUGCGCGUAGCUGAGAUGCUAUUCGUGAAAACUCCGGUGCUCUAGGAUGAGUCUGCAUCUGAUUAGCUAGUUGGGGGUGUAAUGGACCACCAAGGCGACGAUCAGUAGCUGGUUUGAGAGGAUGAUCAGCCACAAUGGGACUGAGACACGGCCCAUACUCCUACGGGAGGCAGCAGUAGGGAAUUUUGCGCAAUGGGGGAAACCCUGACGCCAGCAACGCCGCGUGAUUGAAUAAGCCCUUCGGGGUGUAAAGAUCUGUCAGUGGGGACGAAACUUGACGGUACCCACAGAGGAAGCAUCGGCUAACUCCGUGCCAGCCGCCGC
rnacentral:rRNA from 1 species